UAGGGAGCUAUUGGAUGAGUCGUCAGAAU
rnacentral:piRNA from 1 species